CCUCUCUCAGGGUGGCACCUGGAGAGUUUCCAGUACUGUACCAGUCUCGGCUACAUGAGGGAGAGUCAAGCAGAGGCAUACCCAUUCCAUUCCAAGCUUGGGUAGUGGCUAGUGAGUGGAAGGCAAUCUGCUACAUGU
rnacentral:snoRNA from 2 species